AUGCCUCGAUGAAGUGCUUACUGCAUUUUUUCUUACACAUGUGUUUUUCUUUUUUUGAAAACUUUGCUUUGGUAGGCCUUCUAUAUGGGGCCUGCCAGAGAUUAAACUCAACCAAAUUUUAUUUAAUGUCAACCGAUUAUUUAAUAGUCAAAACUUUCAACAACGGAUCUCUUGGUUCUCGCAUCGAUGAAGAACGCAGCGAAAUGCGAUAAGUAAUAUGAAUUGCAGAUAUUCGUGAAUCAUCGAAUCUUUGAACGCACAUUGCGCCCUUUGGUAUUCCAAAGGGCAUGCCUGUUUGAGCGUCAUUUCUCCCUCAAACCCUCGGGUUUGGUGUUGAGCGAUACGCUGGGUUUGCUUGAAAGAAAGGCGGAGUAUAAACUAAUGGAUAGGUUUUUUCCACUCAUUGGUACAAACUCCAAAACUUCUUCCAAAUUCGACCUCAAAUCAGGUAGGACUACCCGCUGAACUUAAGCAUAUCAAAAGCGGGAGGAAAAA
rnacentral:rRNA from 1 species